rnacentral:rRNA from 1 species
UACAGAGGGGGCAAGCGUUAUUCGGAAUUAUUGGGCGUAAAGGGCGCGUAGGCGGCUUGGCAAGUGGAUGGUGAAAUCCCUCGGCUUAACCGAGGAACUGCCGUCCAAACUGCUUGGCUUGAGACCGGGAGAGGUGAGUGGAAUUCCCAGUGUAGCGGUGAAAUGCGUAGAUAUUGGGAGGAACACCAGUGGCGAAGGCGGCUCACUGGACCGGUACUGACGCUGAGACUCGAAAGCGUGGGGAGCAAACAGG